CGCUUCCCGCAGGCUGAACCUGCGGAAGGAUCAUUA
rnacentral:rRNA from 1 species